rnacentral:misc_RNA from 1 species
GUUGGUGAACCAGCGGAGGGAUCAUUACCGAGUUUCCAACUCACCAACCCACUGUGAACAUACCUACGUUGCUUCGGCGGAGGGCUUCGGCCCGCCGCCGGGGACCCAAACCUCUAUAUUAUGCCCCCGGGCUAAGUACAUGUCUCUCUGAGUAACUGAAAUAAAUCAAAACCUUUAACAACGGAUCUCUUGGCUCUG